ACAAGGACCCAGCUUGUGGGGCCAUCUUUUCUGUUAAAAUUUAGCACAGAAAACUUAUGAGAACUGUAGUGUAAGAAUCUUUAUUCCCACUGUCAUGCCUACUCUGGUUCGAGUCAUGGAAGAUGCUUGGUGUAGCUCAGACAAGGAUAAACCCUGCCUCGUUGGCCGAAGCAAGGAAGGCCAAAUAAGCAGCAGAUUCAUGUGGUUUCAUUGCCCGGGAAUAGGGAGCUUCACUGUGGGAAUUCUGUGCCCCAAAUCCUUAAAGCAGCAUAGUUCCUUCCAGGGUUUGCUCUGUGUUAGUGCAGGGGGAGAAUAUGGGGUCGGAAACAAUGCUAGUGUCCACUGAAGACUCCCCCAGCCACAUGAGCAAUGAGGGGAGAAGUAUAUUCAGCAGAAUAGCUACAUAGGAAUUGCUAUACAGGAUCAGGCCAAUGGUCCAUUUAGUCCAAUUAACCUGUCCUUGAGUGCCCAGUAGCAAUUGGAUAGGUGGAAGAAACCCUGCAACCGGCAGUUAUGGGAUAAGGCUGUGGUCAUCUGGGGCAGGUUACUAUUUUAAAUUUAGGCUGGGACUUUUGAAAGAGCUGAAGGACUUAGAUGCAUAUCUCCCAUUUAAAAUUAUUAGGAUUUAUGCAUUUGCCAUCAACGUUGCCAUCCUUUAGAAAUAAAAUCUUGGCCCUAGAUUAACUCUUUGGGGCAGGAAAAAUGUCACUUCUUAUGUAAGGUGAAGAUUGCGUUUAACUGAGCCUCACUGGAAUAACCUUUGCCCUGUUAAAAGAGACGAAUGUGUGGCUCAGGGAUACAGGAAGUUGUGCUACAAAUUCAUCUGUCCAUGAUGAUGAUGAAAUCUGUAAUUCUAUCUGAUUAGGUUCCGUUGGCCAAUUUUGAGAAAUUCUAGGAGAAUGAGGUCAGCUGUGAGAUUCAGUAACAAAGGAUCCCAAGGGCAGGAGAUACAGGGAUGCAGCCAUUCAUGACUAAUUUUCCUUAUAAUAAACCCAAAAUACCUAUUUUAUCCCAGACAUUCGAAAACGUUCCUUUGAUAUUGAUGAGUCACAUAUAUGCGUUACAGGUAGAGAAGAAGGAAAUUUGCAUGUUUCACAGGGCAUGUGACAACCAAUAUUGAACAUUCUGUAGUUUAUGAAUGAACUGCUUAGCAGGAGAAGAGUCAUAAACAUACAGCAAUGCCUGCAUAAGACAAUGAAGGAUUAGGUCUCUGAUACUUGUGAUACUGUUUAUAAGAGAACCAACAAGCUUGCAAGAUGGAAUAUUCUGAGUUGUUCAUCAUCAUGGGUCAUAAAUUGUUAUUGAUCCGACAUGUCAUCAUCAUCUUCUAUAAUUAUGCUGAGUGCUGACCCUGGAUAUUCUGAACGGGCAGUUGUGUUGCUAAUCUUACCCUCAUUAUAUGACACACUUGCUAGUAAGCCUGUGUGGCCAUGGGUUUUUUUAAUCAGAGCAUUUCUUUGCCUCAAUUUUGAUAUUUUCAAACACAAAGGAUGAGCCUGAAUAAAUGUGUAGCCCUAUCCAGUUAGGGACUUUUCUGCUUAGAUUUUUUUUUCUUCUCUUGGGCAAUCAUUAUUUUUACCAUUGAGCUUCUCAGCCUUGGUGUGAAAAUAGAAGAGGGGUGAUCAGGAGGGGUGACUGUUUUCUUCUUCAGGUUGAAACGUUGCCAUCAAAAUGGCAAACUAGGCAAAGGAUGUUUCUCCUCUCCAGGCCCAAUUGAUCCAGAUUUUUAGGCCAAAUUCAGCCCUGAUGUGAGCAGGUGCAAUUUUAUUGACUUCAGUGGAGCAGCAUCCACUUGUAAUAUCCAUUCAUCAUGAAUGCUGCAAAGUGGAAUAAAUGAACAGGCUGUUGUUAUAUCCAGCAAUUGGCCCACACCGGUAAAGAGGAGAACAAAGGGGUCAUUUGUACCUUUUCAUGGCCUCCUUCCAAUUACUUCUCAUUUCCCAGCUAAAAACAUAGGGCCAGAGCUUUCCGUCUGCGUCCUCUAUGCAAUAGUGCACUCAUUUUUUUAAUAGAAAUCUUGAUUUGUAACUAUACUUAAAACUUCAGAGUGAACCACCGAAAAUACUGCAGAAUUGAAUCCAUUUAAGUUCUAUGUAUAGUGAUCUCUGCGCAAAAAUCAACAUUUCCAUUGAGGUGGCAUGUGAAAAUAAUUUAUCUACCUUGUGAAUAAGAUAGUUUCUGAAAAGAUGCAUAAAGCACCAGACAACAUGGAAAAUCCCACUCGUAUCACUCUGUCUGGCUAUCAGGACUAAUAGGACAUUAUUGGAAAUGUGAAUGUAAACAGACUUAUUGAAGAGAAACAUUCUAAUCUUAUACUAUAACUUUUUUUUUAAUGAACAAAAUAAAACUAUUGCGUUCCAGUUUGGGCUUCAAGAUGUAACCCCUGAGUUGUUCUUUUGGUUUGUCUUUCAAAUUGCUUGAUCAAAUUCAAUCCUUGUAUUGUCAGUACUCACUUAUUAGUCUUAAUAUAUGGUACAUAAUAUAGGUACCAGGAAAUAACAACUACACCCAACCUCAACUAAAAAAUAGCUAGGAGAAAUUUCAGUAAAUCUUGUUUUCUUUGUAUUUUUUGUAAUAUAUUUCUUUGUAUUUUUGUAAUAUAACUUUAUAUUUUUUGUUAACUAUAUCUACUUUUUCACUUUGGAUGUGCCUUUCUCUAUACAAUGCAAAAGGAAGCUACUGAAUCAAUGAUUACAGCAGAAAUUGUGGUUUUAUGUUCACCUGAUUGCUUUUGAGCCCUUUGAGGAUAUUAAUAGGAUUCUAUGGUCAGAAGGGAAAGAGGGAAAGCUUGAGGAAUGCAGCUAGAGAAAACACAUACUUCAAAUAUAAGCAGACUUUCUUUUCCAUCUGGCACCUGCAUCAACAGUGGUAUAAGUCUGGUGAGGGCUGGGGGAGGAGAAAGAAGAAGCAUUGCUUAGGCUCAAUGCCAUUGUUGUACAAUACAGUCCCUUUGUCCUUAGAGAUGGUAGAUAUAAGAUAUAAGAGCAUAACAUUCUCCAAGUAAUGACAUUGUCAAAGCAGCUACCUGUGUUUUACUUGUUCCUUUUGUGAAUAUGCAGUCUAAAAACAUCCCUCAAAGAUAAUCACAAAGAAGCAAAUCCCUGCACUUACCUGCACGGGUACAGAGGGUCUCCUGGCAAUAGGAGGGUCUGGGUAGGAUUUGUGGACCUAUAUGCCUUGUGUGCAAUAGACAGUAGAUCCCUCCUCUGAAAUAGCUCCUGCACAGUACAGCAACUUGCAGGAGGUGUUGGGGCCUGCUUUGGGAGAAGCCAGAACCAGAAGAUCCACCAUCCUCCAGUCCUUCUACUUCAUAGAACGGGCAGUCCUGGGAGUAGGAUCUUCCUAAGUUCCCAGAUAAGAUACUCAGGUUGGACGCUAGAUGUGCUCCAAGGGUCCUGUCCUUACUUCCUGUGUACAUACCCAAUAUUCUCAUUGGAGGAGAGUCAGAGCAUUGAGUUGAUGGUAUGUUACAUGUCAGUGAGUAUAAUGUGGUAAAACAAAACUAGUGGUCCUACAGGGUGCUAGCCACGCCACGUCACCCUCUGCAGAAGGUCAAUACAUAAGCCUUAUGCUGACACUCUGCAGUCAGGGACAUUUCACCCAAGUAAUGACAGAGAGAAGCUAUGAAAGUAACCAGUGCAUACAAAG